GGCGCAGGCACGCUCAGGACCGGGCGACUUCAAUCUCGGAGCCGGGGACCCGCGCCCUCGCGAGAGCAGAACAGAGAAAAGCGGUAUGUGUUUCGCUUGGCAGGAGAACACUUGCUUUCAAGACUCCACUUCCAAAAUGCACGAGUGUCUGGGCUGUUCAGCAAGCCGGCCUUAGUUUUUCCCUCUUAACGUGGCAGCAUGUAAUUGAGAACAAAAAAAAGCAGCCCCUGACAUCCAGGAACUGGCCUGACACUUACAGCCACACUGGGAGACUCUCCAAUGCAGGGGACAGGUCUGACUCAUCCCUAUAUCCCAGCACCUGGGAGAGCAGAAGUUCAAUGAAUGAUGAUGACAAUGGCUAACAUUUACUGUCCACUUACUACAUGCCAGGUAUGGUUUUAGAAGCUUUAUAUUGAUUUAAUCCUCUGAAUAAUCCAGAAAAUUAAGAAAUAGAGGCACAGAAAGGCUAACUUGCCAAGUAGUUACAUAAACUAACUUACGUAAGUAGUACUAACUUAUAUAAGUAGUUGUAGGGGGGCCAGAUUUCAAACACAGGCAGUCUGGCCCAGAAAACACGCUGCUUACCCACUGCCCUCUACUGCUGCCUGGCUUAGAUAUAUUAAGAUUUUAAGAUGAGCUGAGUCCUGUCCUUAGGCUUUACAAACAGUAAUACAGUGACUUCCAGACAUUUUUGUUUAGAACCUACAAGAAGAAAUACAUCUGUAAACAACCACAGCACACCUGUGUACAAUGUCUGUGUGUGUUCACAAACAAUACGAGUUCUUACUAUGUGGGGUGGACUCCAACGUUUUCUGUUCUGUUUCAUUUUUUAAAAUGCUGGUUGCAACCCAUGAAUUUGAAUUCAUAAUUACUAAUGGGUCAUUAGUAAUGACCCAUUAGUAAGAAAAACAUGGCAUUAUUUCAUUAAUUCCCCACAAUCAUGCUGUGAAAUGAGUGUUCUAUUAGAUGAGGAAGUUGAGGCACGAGAGUAAAGUCACCUCCCCAGGACGGCACAGCCACUCAGUAAGACGCACACUGGGUCUUUGACCCUAGUGCCCAUGUCCUUAAUCGCUGUGCCACGCUACUUCCUGGGGAGGAUGAGAGAGCUGAGGGCAAGGUUGGAAGAGCCCAGAAGGUCAGA